rnacentral:tRNA from 1 species
GCCUGGGUGGCUCCGUUGGUUGAGCGUCUGGCUUAGGCUCAGGUCAUGAUCUCGCAGUUUGCGAGUUCGAGCCCCGCAUCGGGCU